rnacentral:rRNA from 1 species
CCUACGGGGGGCAGCAGUGAGGAAUAUUGGUCAAUGGGCGGGAGCCUGAACCAGCCAAGUCGCGUGAGGGAUGACGGCCCUAUGGGUUGUAAACCUCUUUUGCCGGGGAGCAAAGUGCCGCACGUGUGCGGUUUGGAGAGUACCCGGAGAAAAAGCAUCGGCUAACUCCGUGCCAGCAGCCGCGGUAAUACGGAGGAUGCGAGCGUUAUCCGGAUUUAUUGGGUUUAAAGGGUGCGUAGGUUGUUUUAUAAGUUAGCGGUGAAAUACCGAUGCUCAACAUCGGGGCUGCCGCUGAUACUGUAGGACUAGAGAUCGGAUGCAGCAGGCGGAAUGUGUAGUGUAGCGGUGAAAUGCAUAGAUAUUACACAGAACACCGAUUGCGAAGGCAGCUUGCUAGGCCGGAUCUGACACUGAUGCACGAAAGCGUGGGGAUCGAACAGGAUUAGAUACCCGAGUAGUC